UACAGAGGAGCCAAGCGUUGUCCGGAUUGACUGGGCGUAAAGCGCACGCAGGCGGAUGCGCGCGUGGGGUGUGAAAUCUGGCCGCUUAACGGCCAGGCGCCAUCCCAUACGGCGCGUCUGGAGCUAUGCAGAGGUCGGUGGAAUUCCCGGUGUAGCGGUGAAAUGCGCAGAUAUCAGGAAGAACACCCGUGGCUAAGGCGGCUCUCUAGUACGGUACUGACGCUGAGACGCGAAAGCGUGGGGAGCGAACAGG
rnacentral:rRNA from 1 species